ACAACCCCACAGCUGUCAUUAUUAAUUUUCUGUGCCUCCCCAUUGCCAACAUAUUGGUUGUGGUGUUUAUGGUGAUCUAUGAGAACUACAUGAAGAAGCGCAGAGAGUCCAGAAGUGGUGUGAAUGACGACAUGAUGCUUGAAUCAACAGCAAUCUACAUGAAUACACGACCUCCUGGACGGCGUCAUAAAGCAGCUCACUGAUGAAGGAAGGCCUGAUGGAGCUUCACAUCAAAUCACCAUUUACUCUCUAUGAUAAGUUUUCAAGUUAUUCAGCUUGCAGAAUAUCUUUUAUCACAUUUUAGAGGCUAUUGUUAAAUUUGUAUUAUUGUAAUUAGCCAAGAGCUCCAAUAUUGUACUCUAUUGAAAUAUUGUUUAACAAAGUAAAUUCUGUGGUAUCUUCGUCUCUUUGUUGCAUUUUGGAAUUUCAGUGAUUCUGAUGCUUUGGUGUGCAUA